rnacentral:rRNA from 1 species
GUGCAGCAGUCGCGAAAACUCCGCAAUACGCGAAAGCGUGACGGGGCUACCCCGAGUGUCGUCCGCUGAGGACGACUUUUCCACGCUGUAAGGAGGCGUGGGAAUAAGGAGAGGGCAAGUCUGGUGUCAGCCGCCGCGGUAAUACCAGCUCUCCGAGUGGUAGGGACGAUUAUUGGGCUUAAAGCGUCCGUAGCCGGCUCAGCAAGUCUCCCGUUAAAUCCAACGAUUCAAUCGUUGGACUGCGGGAGAUACUGUUGGGCUAGGGGGCGGGAGAAGCCGACGGUAUUUCCGGGGUAGGGGUAAAAUCCUAUAAUCCCGGGAAGACCACCAGUGGCGUAGGCGGUCGGCUAGCACGCGCUCGACAGUGAGGGACGAAAGCUGGGGUAGCGAACCGGAUUAGAUUUGGAAAGGAGAAAUAUCCUUCCACUGAAGACCCGGGUAGUCC